rnacentral:rRNA from 1 species
UACGGAGGGGGCUAGCGUUGUUCGGAAUUACUGGGCGUAAAGCGCACGUAGGCGGCUUUGCAAGUUAGAGGUGAAAGCCCGGGGCUCAACUCCGGAAUUGCCUUUAAAACUGCAUCGCUAGAAUUGUGGAGAGGUAAGUGGAAUUCCGAAUGUAGAGGUGAAAUUCGUAGAUAUUCGGAAGAACACCAGUGGCGAAGGCGACUUACUGGACACAUAUUGACGCUGAGGUGCGAAAGCGUGGGGAGCAAACAGG